AGGGUUUGAUCCUGGCUCAGAUUGAACGCUGGCGGCAUGGCUAAAACAUGCAAGUCGAACGAUGAAAGCCCCUUCGGGGGUGCAUGAAGUGGCGAAAGGGCUAGGAAUACAUUCCUACGUACCUUGAGGUCGAGGAUAGCCCCGGGAAACUGGGAGUAAUACUCGAUGAUGUCUUCGGACCAAAGCCUUCGGGCGCCUUUAGAGCGGGGAAUGUCCUAUCAGGUUGUUGGUGAGGUAACGGCUCACCAAGCCUAAGACGGGUAGCGGGUGUGAGAGCAUGACCCGCAGCAUCGGGACUGAGACACUGCCCGGACUCCUACGGGAGGCUGCAGUAACGAAUAUUCCGCAAUGCGCGAAAGCGUGACGGAGCAAUGCCGCGUGUGGGAUGAAGCUUCUCGGAGUGUAAACCACUGUCAGGAUUCAGGAACACAAUGACCAGAUCCAAAGGAAGGGCCGGCUAACUUCGUGCCAGCAGCCGCGGUAAUACGAAGGGCCCGAGCGUUAAUCAGAAUCACUGGGCUUAAAGCGUGCGUAGGCGGACAUGAAGGCGCCUUGUGAAAUCCCUCGGCUCAACCGAGGAACUGCAGGGCGAACCAUGUGUCUUGAGACAGGUAGGGGUCGUCGGGACGGUAGGUGGAGUGGUGAAAUGCGUUGAUAUCUACCGGAACGCCGAAGGAGAAGUCAGGCGACUGGGCCUGUUCUGACGCUGAGGCGCGAAAGCGUGGGGAGCGAACGGGAUUAGAUACCCCGGUAGUCCACGCCGUAAACGAUGUGCACUAGGUUGGGGAGGUUUUGACGCCAUUCCUGGCCGAAGCAAAAGUGUUAAGUGCACCGCCUGGGGAGUACGGUCGCAAGGCUAAAACUCAAAGGAAUUGACGGGAGCUCACACAAGCGGUGGAGCAUGUGGCUUAUUUCGAUGCAACGCGAGAACCUUAUCCUGGUUGACAUGUAUGGAUUAACUCCCUGAAGGGAGCCACGCCUCUGUGGUGAACAUAACACAGGUGCUGCAUGGCCGUCGUCAGCUCGUGCCUGUGAAGGUGUCGGGAUAGUCCUAGCGAGCGCAACCCCUGUCGGUAGUUGCUAGCCAGUAUGCCUGAAGACUCUAGCGAACUGCCGUAUUACCGGACGAGUGGGAUGACGUCAGGUCGCAUGGCUUUUAAGCCGAGGGCU
rnacentral:rRNA from 1 species